GAUGAACGCUGGCGGCGUGCUUAACACAUGCAAGUCGAACGGAAAGGCUCCUGCUUGCCGGGGUACUCGAGUGGCGAACGGGUGAGUAACACGUGGGUGAUCUGCCCUUCACUUCGGGAUAAGUCUGGGAAACUGGGUCUAAUACCGGAUAGGACGAUGUUUUGGAUGCCGUUGUGGAGAGAUUUUCCGGUGUGGGAUGAGCUCUCGGCCUAUCAGCUUGUUGGUGUGGUAUUGGCAUACCAAGGCGUCGACGGGUAGCCGGCCUGAGAGGGUGUACGGCCACAUUGGGACUGAGAUACGGCCCAGACUCCUACGGGAGGCAGCAGUGGGGAAUAUUGCACAAUGGGCGCAAGCCUGAUGCAGCGACGCCGCGUGGGGGAUGACGGCCUUCGGGUUGUAAACUCCUUUCGCUAGGGACGAAGCGCGAGUGACGGUACCUGGAGAAGAAGCACCGGCUAACUACGUG
rnacentral:rRNA from 1 species